GGCCUCAUAGCUCAGCUGGGAGAGCAGCAGACUGAAGCGACGUGGUUUGUGAUCUGAAGGUCCUGCGUUCGAUCCGCGGUGAGGCCA